UACGGAGGAUGCGAGCGUUAUCCGGAUUUAUUGGGUUUAAAGGGUGCGUAGGCGGACUGGAAAGUCAGCGGUAAAAUCGAGAGGCUCAACCUCUUUCCGCCGUUGAAACUGUCGGUCUUGAGUGGGCGAGAAGUAUGCGGAAUGCGUAGUGUAGCGGUGAAAUGCAUAGAUAUCACGCAGAACUCCGAUUGCGAAGGCAGCAUACCGGCGCCCGACUGACGCUGAGGCACGAAAGCGUGGGUAUCGAACAGG
rnacentral:rRNA from 1 species